CGUGGGAUUCCGGCUCCGUAUCACGUGGAUAACAUGCCCUUGGGUGGAGGAUAAUCUCGGGAAACUGAGAAUAAUACUCCAUAGAUCUAGGAUGCUGGAAUGCUUCUAGGUCCAAAACUCCGGUGCCCAAGGAUUGGUCUGCGGCCUAUCAGGUUGUAGUGGGUAUAAUUGACCCACUAGCCCGCGACGGGUAUGGGCCUUGAGAGAGGGUGCCCAGAGAUGGACUCUGAGACAUGAGUCCAGGCCCUACGGGGCGCAGCAGUCGCGAAAACUUCGCAAUGGGGGAAACCCCGACGAGGGAAUUCCAAGUGUCAGCACUUAGUGUUGACUGUUCUUCUGUCUAAAAAACAGGAGGAGUAAGGGCCGGGUAAGACGGGUGCCAGCCGCCGCGGUAAUACCCGCGGCCCGAGUGGUGGUCGAUAUUAUUGAGCCUAAAACGUCCGUAGCCGGUCUCCUAAAUCCUUGGGUAAAUCGGACAGCUUAACUGUCCGAAUUCCGAGGAGACUGGGAGACUUGGGACCGGGAGAGGUCAGAGGUACUUCUGGGGUAGGGGUAAAAUCCUGUAAUCCUGGAAGGACCACCGGUGGCGAAGGCGUCUGACUAGAACGGAUUCGACGGUGAGGGACGAAGCCCUGGGGCGCAAACGGGAUUAGAUACCCCGGUAGUCCAGGGUGUAAACGCUGCGGGCUUGGUGUUGGGGGUCCUUAGUGGGCGCCCAGUGCCGGAGAGAAGUUGUUAAGCCUGCUGCUUGGGGAGUACGUCCGCAAGGAUGAAACUUAAAGGAAUUGGCGGGGGAGCAC
rnacentral:rRNA from 1 species